UACGAAGGGGGCUAGCGUUGCUCGGAAUCACUGGGCGUAAAGCGCACGUAGGCGGAUCCUUAAGUCGGGGGUGAAAUCCUGGAGCUCAACUCCAGAACUGCUUUCGAUACUGAGGAUCUCGAGUCCGGGAGAGGUGAGUGGAACUGCGAGUGUAGAGGUGAAAUUCGUAGAUAUUCGCAAGAACACCAGUGGCGAAGGCGGCUCACUGGCCCGGUACUGACGCUGAGGUGCGAAAGCGUGGGGAGCAAACAGG
rnacentral:rRNA from 1 species